rnacentral:lncRNA from 1 species
ACACACGUGAACCCGCCCCCUCCAUCGCCAAUCCCCAUCAUCACAAGGCCACCUGAUUUGCCGCCUUAAGGCAAGCUUGUGUAUGGCCCUCUACAAGACGGGGGGCCCGGUGAGGUCAGCCGCCAGUAGCUCCUUGUACCCAGGGCGGGAAAACACCUUGGGGUAGACGGGGCCGAAUGUUAACGAAGCAGCCUCUACCCACAGAAGCCCCCCUAUGGCAUAAAACGGGGGGUAACCCCCCCUUAAGCGUAACCCAGGGUGUAGGGUUAGGGGUUACCCACGUGGCUAUGUACGAAGGGAGGUGGGUAACCUAACCCCGGGGUAGGGGUAACCCCUUACCGAGGGGUAACAAAGGGGUCGGGGUAAUACACUACUGAUGGGUAACAGACAGGGUAACCCAUGUUUACAUUCACCUGCACCUGUCUCGCCUGUCUACACACGCAAACAUACAUGUCUUCACCAAUCACUUGUGAAUGCCCAAUUAUCAACAUUGACGCACCAAAACAUGCCUUGUGUAGAAACCUAGACCUAAGGAUAAGGCACACAGCUGCAGCCUAGAUGCAAGGAGGAGGACGAAGAGGCGUACAUAGGCAGAGCAAAUUGGGGACCGCCGCCAGCGAGAAGCCGCCAGUGAAGCCAAUAAAUAUUCCUAUCAAAAGGUCCAGGCACUUACCGCCGCUCCGGACCCAAGACCUAAAACUCGCGGACCAGCCAACGGGCGGCAAUGUAAGCUUACAUUACCUUAAGGUCGGCCAGUAGCUGAAGUGCCCCGUCCCGACCUGCUACUUCCAGCUCUACGCACGACCUAUGCAACACUAUCCAGAGUCUGCUCGUUUUCAGAGCAGGCUCUCCUAAGAGCGUCGAAGGUCUUGGGCGGGAGAUCCGACACCCCGAACACAGUCACACCCGGCGAAGUGUAAGGCGCCCUCAGGUAAAAAUCCUUGGAUGUCACUGGAUGUCUUGCUAAAUGAGGUGCACCAUAAGUGUGGGCCUGUGCUGCAGAAAGACAGUCAACGGUCUUGUUGUGGUGGUCCGCGCGCGCGAACGCUAGAACGCCACCAUUUUUGCCGCCAUACGCACCAGUAUUGCAACGUGGAUUAUAUGUGUGCAUUGUAUCUAUGGUCAAUAGGAACAAUGCCAGCAGUGAAUAUGAUUGACUGAAUUCGUGAUAGUGGUCAUCGCUUAUUGUAGCAUGUCCGUCUAAUCAAAAGACCAGACUAUAUGAGAUUACAAGCUAAUUAGCUGUGAUUCAGCUUGA